UUUUGGAAAAGAUAAAAAGGAGAAAUCUGAAGAGACUCUUUCUCUCUCCACUCUCCAUCAUCUCUACAAUCCCUCCCUCCCUUCCUAGCCUCACAAACCCUACCCGCCACCAUGGACAGUAACAACCUCUUCUCCGAUUACUUCUCCGACGACCUCGAUUCCUCCCCUACCGUCCCCACCGCCGUGACCACGACCACGACCACCAAUGCAAUUUCAUCGCCCUCGAGCCUCUCUACCUCCUCCCCUACACCUGGUGGCUCGAAGAAGCUGAUCAUCAAGGAGAGGUCGUGCUUUAUAUGGUGUCGUGCAAUUCCAAUUUUGAAGCCGAGAUUUUGCUUCAUCUAAGGAAGGAAGAGAACCCACACAACAACAACAUUGGGGUUUCUGCGCGUCAGUAUGCCUUCGUUCUCACUUUAAUGUCGGCACCGUAGAGGUUUCUUUGCACCUUCAAAUCUAGAACCUUCCUUUUACUUCCCUUAGUCCACUCUUACCACACCCUAACACCCUCACUCUCGCCAAUGCCUCGCAAUUAGCGAAGUGGCGUGCACCUGGAGCGGAAGUGGAAACAAAAAGCGAAAACAGAGGGACAAUUAUCGGUUGUGGCGGACGCAGUGGAAACUGUUACUAACAAGCUCAGUGGAUUGAGUAUUGGCGAUAACAGUGGGAAAAUCGUGGCGCAAGGUUCGAUUGCGAUUUGGAAACCUAAAUCUUAUGGAACUGCGAGUGGAGGCACUGUUACCAAAGUUGAAAAUGGAGCUGGAGUUGAUGCAAGUGUGGCUUCAAUGCAAAAAAGUAGUGGUAGUGGUUUGAGUAAGAUAUAUCGCGGUGAUUUGUUAGAGAAUUUCACUAUGGACAACUCCACCUACUCACGUGCACAAGUUAGAGUGACUUUCAAUCCUAAAUUUGAAAACGAGAAGUCGGAUCAAGUGGGCUUGAUACCUCGUGCUAAACUUCUUUUGACAAUUGGAGGAACAUUCUUCUUGGAAUUUGGGCCGUUGAUCCUCAUAAUUGUUGCAACCUUUUCUGCCAUUGGGAUUUGGGUGUAUUUUGGAUACUAAAUAUCCAGUGGUAGUCCUGAAUUUUGUUUUUGCAAUUUUGUUUCCAAGUUUUCAAUUUUGGGUGCUUAUUUGUGAUGUUAAAGGUUUGUUUGUUCUGCAAAUGAUAGCAAUAGCAUAUGUUGAUGCCAUGUUUCUUUAACUGCUUAGCUAAUGAUGUAUAGUCUAUUAUUAUUUAUAUUUGCCCCCUAAAAUACACAGUUUGAAUAGUUCUAACAAUAAAAGACUCUAAAAAUUUGUAUAUAUGAAUUUCCAGACAUUGGCUUAUGACAGCUAGCCUGA